UUUGAUAUGCAUUUAUAAUUUAAUACUUGAAAUAGCUUCCUUAAUGUUUGUUUCAUCUCAGAGCUUGAUUAACAUAGGAUUCUUGCAUCAAGAUGAAUGUUAAAGACAAAAAGGAGAUUUUUUCAGAUAUGCAUGAAGGCACCAAAUUUUAGAGGAAAAAAAUUUUUUUAACAAACUGGGUAUGUCCAAGGAAAGGGAUCAUCAACCAAAGUAUUGGAAUUUUGCAAUUAUAUCUGCCAUUAUGGAUCAGAUUUGUUGGUUAUGUAGCCAUUGGGGUCACAGCUUGUCUGAACCAACUCUCAACUCCAUCAACAGUAUGCCAAUAUGUUAUCAUCAAUAAGACUUUCCAAUGAUUGCAAUUUCCAUAUUUUGUCAUCUUUGCCAAUGUGAAAGAUGUGAGACAAAGCCUCAGAA
rnacentral:lncRNA from 1 species